UUGGGGAGCCCUGAAUUUUGGGGGGAUUUUUGGGUGGAUUUUUAGGGGUUUUUGGGGUAUUUCUGGCUGGUUCCUGAGUGGGUUUUUUUGCUAUUUUUGGGAUAUUUCUGGGUGGAUUUUUUGCUAUUUUUGGGGUAUUUCUGGAUGGAUUUUUUGCUAUUUUUGGGAUAUUUCUGGCUGGAUUUUUUGCUAUUUUUGGGAUAUUUCUGGAUGGAUUUUUUGGGAUUUUUGGGAUAUUUCUGGGUGGAUUUUUUUGCUAUUUCUGGGCUAUUUCUGGGUGGAUUUUUUUGCUAUUUCUGGGAUAUUUCUGGGUGGAUUUUUUUGCUAUUUCUGGGUGGAUUUUUUUUGCUAUUUUUGGGAUAUUUCUGGGAUAUUUCUGGGAUAUUUCUGGGAUAUUUCUGGGUGGAUUUUUUUGCUAUUUCUGGGCUAUUUCUGGGCUAUUUCAGGGUGGAUUUUUUGGGUUUUUCUGGGUGGAUUUUUUUGCUAUUUUUGGGAUAUUUCUGGGGUAUUUCUGGGUGGAUUUUUUGCUAUUUUUGGAGUAUUUCUGGGCUAUUUCUGGGUGGAUUUUUUUGC
rnacentral:lncRNA from 1 species